GCGGGUAUAGUACAGCGGUAGUACAACGCCUUGCCAUGGCGUGGACACGGGUUCGAUUCCCGUUACCCGCUCCA
rnacentral:tRNA from 1 species